rnacentral:lncRNA from 1 species
GUUGAAGUGUUGAACCUUAAAAGACCCUCUUCAGUCUUCUCCACCAUAUGCACUACUUGGGUCCUAGCCAUGGUUGAUCACCAAGUCAUGUUCCUUAUACUCAUGGCUAAUCUGGCUAGAUAUGAUGACUAUAUGAAGCAUGAGACAACAACCUUUUGAAAACAAUACCGGCGGUACCCCUCCUGAGCUUAUUCUUCUUACAUUUUCUAUUUAUAUUUCCUAACUUCAUAAAGGUUGUUCGAGUUUUCUUGACCUUGCAAGCCCGUGAUAGUCUUCAUGCGGUUCAAGAUACUCUUUACAAGCAACUCAGUUUUAGAGUGAAGCAAGUUCUACGUGUCCUAACAGCUAUCCCUCCCGAACUAUAUAUUUUAUGUAUAAUGUUUAUCCUACGAGUUUUCGAAAUAACCUUGUAAACUUAUUCUUCCUUCUUGAAUCGCAUAUCCUACUAUAUGUUUUGUUAGUUUUUUUCCAUUAGUAAUUUCUUCAUGGUUUUAGUUGUAUAAUAGUGUUUCUAAAGGGAAGUAACUUUGCUUCAACCAUGUAAAUUAUACAUCAUGAAAUUGAAAGAAG